UAAUUCCUACGGGGGGCAGCAGUGGGGAAUAUUGCACAAUGGGCGAAAGCCUGAUGCAGCAACGCCGCGUGAAGGAAGACGGUUUUCGGAUUGUAAACUUCUAUCAAUAGGGAAGAAAGAAAUGACGGUACCUAAAUAAGAAGCCCCGGCUAACUACGUGCCAGCAGCCGCGGUAAUACGUAGGGGGCAAGCGUUAUCCGGAUUUACUGGGUGUAAAGGGAGCGUAGACGGCGCGGCAAGUCUGAAGUGAACGGCAGGGGCUUAACCCCUGACCUGCUUUGGAAACUGCCUUGCUAGUGUGCUGG
rnacentral:rRNA from 1 species